rnacentral:rRNA from 1 species
GAUGAACGCUGGCGGCGUGCCUAAUACAUGCAAGUCGAGCGAACAGACGAGGAGCUUGCUCCUCUGACGUUAGCGGCGGACGGGUGAGUAACACGUGGAUAACCUACCUAUAAGACUGGGAUAACUUCGGGAAACCGGAGCUAAUACCGGAUAAUAUAUUGAACCGCAUGGUUCAAUAGUGAAAGACGGUUUUGCUGUCACUUAUAGAUGGUUCCGCGCCGCAUUAGCUAGUUGGUAAGGUAACGGCUUACCAAGGCAACGAUGCGUAGCCGACCUGAGAGGGUGAUCGGCCACACUGGAACUGAGACACGGUCCAGACUCCUACGGGAGGCAGCAGUAGGGAAUCUUCCGCAAUGGGCGAAAGCAUGACGGAGCAACGCCGCGUGAGUGAUGAAGGUCUUCGGAUCGUAAAGCUCUGUUAUUAGGGAAGAACAAAUGUGUAAGUAACUAUGCACGUCUUGACGGUACCUAAUCAGAAAGCCACGGCUAACUACGUG